GCUGGAUGCUGUGGCAUGUGCACAUGGUCCCAGCUACUUGGGAGGCUGAGACAGGAGGAACACUUGAGUCCAGGAGUUCUGGGCUAUAUAGUGUGCUAUGCCAACUGAGUGUCUGCACUAAGUUUGGCAUCAACAUGGUGACCUCCUGGGAGCGACCAGGUUGCCUAAGGAGGGGUGAACUGGCCCAGGUUGGAAAUGGAGCAGGUCAAAACUCCCAUGCUGCUCAGUAGUGGGAUCACACCUGUGAAUAGUCACUGUACUCCAGCCUGGGCAACAUAGCGAGAUCCAGUCUCUA
rfam:Otolemur garnettii contig084971, whole genome shotgun sequence.